UCUGACAGGUCAGAGGAUGUGGCUCAAAGGAAUCUUUAAUCUUAGAGCUGAACAAUAAG
rfam:Equus caballus chromosome 30, whole genome shotgun sequence.